AUUGAACGCUGGCGGCAUGCUUUACACAUGCAAGUCGAACGGUAACAGGCCGCAAGGUGCUGACGAGUGGCGAACGGGUGAGUAAUGCAUCGGAACGUGCCCAGUCGUGGGGGAUAACGCAGCGAAAGCUGCGCUAAUACCGCAUACGAUCUAUGGAUGGAAGCGGGGGACCGUAAGGCCUCGCGCGAUUGGAGCGGGCGAUGUCAGAUUAGGUAGUUGGUGGGGUAAAGGCUCACCAAGCCAACGAUCUGUAGCUGGUCUGAGAGGACGACCAGCCACACUGGGACUGAGACACGGCCCAGACUCCUACGGGAGGCAGCAGUGGGGAAUUUUGGACAAUGGGCGCAAGCCUGAUCCAGCAAUGCCGCGUGCAGGAAGAAGGCCUUCGGGUUGUAAACUGCUUUUGUACGGAACGAAACGGUCCUGGUUAAUACCCGGGGCUAAUGACGGUACCGUAAGAAUAAGCACCGGCUAACUACGUGCCAGCCGCCGCCGUAAAAC
rnacentral:rRNA from 1 species